UGGCAGGCAGGUCAAGGUUUACCCGCGCACCACACACCAUUUCCCUCACAUGCCGCCUAGGGGAGGAACACCAGAAGCCUGAGGCAAGGGCAAGCCCAAACAGCUUGCUAAACAUUGCCGCCAUCACCACCUCAAACCUUUCUGAUGGAAGGACAGAAAUUCACAGCUGAAAAUCUCAAGUUGGAUCUUUAUCUUCCUCCUUUCCCUUCUUUCCUUUGUUCCAGUGGUUAUUGCUUUCAUUCUUUUUUUUCUAUCCCCUUUUAUCUAACUCAAGAUUAUUGAUUUCCAUCAGUAGUAAGGUAUAUGUCUAUUAACCGGCAGAUUUAAUAGAGCGACAAUAGAAAAAGUACUCAUUUGUUCCCUCUAUAAUGUUAGUGUUCAUUUUGAGAGUCUGAUACAAACCUUGGCUAGAAGCUAGUGCAGGAUUUUUAGCUGUAAAUGGAAAACGCCUGUGGGCUUUUCAUUUUCUGGGCCCAGACGUUCCCUUCAUGGUGUCGGAGCCCUUGUGUUCACAGAGUUCAUGUUUCGCUCCAGGCUUUUUUUUUUAUUUUGUUUUAUCUCAUAGCUUAGACUAGCAGGGCUUUAACUCCCAGAGGACUCCUGCGUAGCAACAGCAGAGAUCAACAAAAAACCCCUGGCCAGGUUAUUGAAUCCUGGAUCUCAGAACCAUAUUUUUCUGGACUGUUUUUCUGACCUGGCUCUGACUUCUGCCUGUUCACGGAGGCUGCAUUGGGGACACUCUGAGUGGCUCCGCGCUACAUCUUGUUGGCAGUCCAUCGGCUGGAUCUUGCCUCACCGGUGAGGAUGGACUGAACUGUUAAACCAGGACCCAAAUGCAGAGGUGAGGAGCCAGAAGACCGUGACAGUACCUCCCACAUAAGGGUGGAUUCCAGA